rnacentral:rRNA from 1 species
UACGUAGGGUGCGAGCGUUAAUCGGAAUUACUGGGCGUAAAGCGUGCGCAGGCGGUUCGUUGUGUCGGUGGUGAAAUCCCCGGGCUUAACCUGGGAAUGGCCAUGGAAACUGGCGAACUGGAGUGUGGCAGAGGGGGGUGGAAUUCCGCGUGUAGCAGUGAAAUGCGUAGAGAUGCGGAGGAACACCGAUGGCGAAGGCAGCCCCCUGGGCUGACACUGACGCUCAGGCACGAAAGCGUGGGGAGCAAACAGG